GAGGAAAAGAAACUAACAAGGAUUCCCCUAGUAGCGGCGAGCGAAGCGGGAAGAGCUCAAAUUUAUAAUCUGGCACCUUCGGUGUCCGAGUUGUAAUCUCUAGAAAUGUUUUCCGCGUUGGACCGCACACAAGUCUGUUGGAAUACAGCGGCAUAGUGGUGAGACCCCCGUAUAUGGUGCGGACGCCCAGCGCUUUGUGAUACAUUUUCGAAGAGUCGAGUUGUUUGGGAAUGCAGCUCAAAUUGGGUGGUAAAUUCCAUCUAAAGCUAAAUAUUGGCGAGAGACCGAUAGCGAACAAGUACCGUGAGGGAAAGAUGAAAAGCACUUUGGAAAGAGAGUUAACAGUACGUGAAAUUGUUGGAAGGGAAACGCUUGAAGUCAGACUUGCUUGCUGAGCAAUCGGUUUGCAGGCCAGCAUCAGUUUUCCGGGAUGGAUAAUGGUAGAGAGAAGGUAGCAGUUUCGGCUGUGUUAUAGCUCUCUGCUGGAUACAUCUUGGGGGACUGAGGAACGCAGUGUGCCUUUGGCGGGGGUUUCGACCUCUUCACACUUAGGAUGCUGGUGGAAUGGCUUUAAACGACCCGUCUUGAAACACGGACC
rnacentral:rRNA from 1 species